rnacentral:tRNA from 1 species
AGUUAACGAAGCAAAGCCCGGCACUGCAAAAGAUCUAAGCCCUUUUUACAGAGGUUUAAAUCCUCUCGUUAACU